AAAAGGCGAGCGCUUUGUUGCCUGGCCGGAAAUGUGAGAAGUGUAGCAAUGGAGACCACAGGACAGAUGAGGUGGUACGGAGGGAGGAGAGAGCCUGUGAGUCCCAUGCCGGGGCUACCGUUGAUGUGGGAAGUCUCUGGACAGAGAUGGUAUGGUCUAGGACGGAUUAAAUUGGCUCGCCUAUAUUCAAGUCUUUCAUCUGCAAAAAAUUGCAGACUCCACCAAUCCCACAAUCAAAUAUCUUGCAGCAGAGUGUGAACUAGAAGAGGA